GUUCGCUGUGACGUCCCUUCCGGUGCGCCGCCAUUAGCUAACCAGGGUGCGGUAAGCAUUGUGUCGCAUUUCCUGAUUCUAGGUUUAAAGUCCUUUUUUGGGCAUUUUUAACUUUUGUUCAGACUCCAGGAGGCCGAGAUGCUUCAGAUCAUAAGAACUCUGCUGUGGAUGGUUCUGCUCUCCCUCUCAGAGUCAGUGACCAGAGGACUGGAUGUUACUGGAGAAGUUGGUGGAAACGUCCUCCUGCCCUGCAGCUUUAAGGAUCCCGUCCCACUGAACGUCUUCUGGAGAA